rnacentral:lncRNA from 1 species
GGGGUCUGUUAAUGAUAAGUUAGAUUAGAUUAGAUUAGAACAAAUUGUUAAAUUUGUAUAUAUUUUUUUCUUUGGCAUUUACAAGAAAAUAAAAUUAUACCACAAAUGUGCAACGACAAGUAGCCUUCAGUAUCCUGAAGUUUUGUUGCAUAACUAAAGAAGAAGAAAAACAUAAGUAUUUUGAUAAACAUCUUUAAUCACUACAAUUGCACAAUUAACAAGCUCCCCAUACAAUGAACAAGAUCUUCUGAAAUGAACACUACAUUGAAAAAAUAAUAAAUAAGUCUACAACAACAUAUAAAAUAUGAUUUAAAAAAUAUGUGGGAGACUAGUACAUGUUUUAACUUGACACUUUUUCUAGAAAUUACAUUAGACGAAAUAAUCGAAUUACAUGUACAUACAAUUAAGUCAGAAAUCUCACAAGAAAUAUAACUGAGUACUACUCCAUAAUACAUUAAUAUGAUAAUGGGUCUGAUUACUGGCCUUGCUGACUUGAUCUAUUUGUUGUUUUGAUACUAUUAGAAAAAAAUAUAUAUUUCAUUUUUGAAAGAUAAAACAGAAAUUAAACAUCUAAUCUUGUAAAUCAUGUUUAUUUUUAAGCCUCAUUAUAAAUCAUGUUUCAAUUCUUUAUCUCUUCCAAAGAAAAUAAAACAAACCGAUAACUUUCCCUCUACAACACCAUUUCAUAAUAAUUUCAUAUUUAAUAACAAAAGCUUAUUACAGACAUUUGUUUGGAUUAUAAUGAGUAGUUUUUGACUAUUAUAUAGUAAUUUUAAAUACAAACAUGUAAUAGAUAAAUAAAAGUAGAUACACAGAAAGGAGUAAGUUAGCACCAAAUUCAGAAAUUAUUGCAAGUUUUUUCUUAACACGAAUAAUGCAACUUUGUGAGUAUUGCAAUAAUAAAAACUCGUAUUCUGAUAUCUAAUACAUAUAUCUGUAUCCCAGAUUUUCCUAAAAUCACAUUAAUUUAUGUCGCAUCAUUUUUAUUUUUGAAAAUCGCAAUAAUAAAUGCAUGCAAUAAUUUCUGAAUUUACAGUAUUUAAUGGAGGGGUUAAAUAUUGAUUUAAAACUGAAAUGACAUUAUCAUUGUUUCAUAAAUAAUACAUGGUAUAAUCAAAUAAUUCAAAAUGACAUAAACUUCAGUUCUUUAAAAAGAUUGCAUGUGUAGUUGUAACAAGCAUACUCCAACUUGUAAAGUAUCAGAAACCAGGAAGUAGGUAUAUGGGUUAACUUUAAAACUCCUCACUUUCAUUCUAUUGACCAUAUAUGAAGUCAUUCUGCACAGAUAUACUUGAGUAACGGUGAAAUAAUAUUUAAUACAAGUUUAUUAAACAUAUUCGAGGUACUGGAAUAGAUUCAUAAUUGUCAAGCUACUGUCAGUAGUACUUGAGAAAAGAAGAACAGAAAUAUUUGUCAGAAAGGCAGACAGUCAGAACGACGAAUGGAAAAGGUAAAUUCUAAAAACCUGAAAGAGUAGGGCUUAAGUUACUUUUAGGUUUAUACAAUUAUUUCAUAAUGACUUUUUUUAUUAUAGAACCUUGGAUGCAUCUUUUUACCACAAAAUAUAUACAACAUUAAUUUUUCAUACCAAAACAAAUGUAAACUUAAACUCAUUUACACAUGGAAAACACACUCUAAUUGAUAAUUGUACAGCUGAUAAACAUUAAAAGAUCAAACUUCAUGCAAGAACAUAAUAAGUCAUAAUAUCAUAAAUGUGAACCUCAAAACUAUAUCUAACAGAAUAUAAAAUAAUUUUGGAUGUAAUGCGUCUUCUGAUUGGCUGACGUUAUUUUGUUAUCAGACCAUAGACAUAAUUUAGUCAUGUGACCGUGACGUCAUCAACGUUUUUUCAAGGUUUUCUACGGUUUAAAGUGAAAUUUAGAAUUAAAUUAUAAGAAAUGACUGUAAUAUUUUUUCUGUCUAUUCGAAAUAACAUAAUAAAUGUGACGCACAUUGUUAAAUAACCCGCUACGCGCG